GCGGGUAUGGUGUAGUGGUAGCACAUCAGCCUUCCAAGCUGUUGGCACGGGUUCGAAUCCCGUUACCCGCU
rnacentral:tRNA from 2 species